rnacentral:lncRNA from 1 species
ACAAAACAUAAUGGAAUAGGGAUAUACGGCUUUUUGGCCAUGGUGGACACUACACAACUUAAUCUUGAAUAUGUGUUAUGCAAAUCAAUGACAUGUUUUGAAUGAAAUGGGCAUGAGUUCUAGUGUUUAGUUCUAAGUGAUGAAACGCCUUCUAAGUAGCAACCAAGCAAAGAAUAAUGAGAUCAUGCAACGACUUUAGAAAACAAAGAAUGCACAUAUUUUAACUCUCCAAAUAAACGUUUAGGCUCAAGUCUCAC